rnacentral:rRNA from 1 species
UACGUAGGGUGCAAGCGUUAAUCGGAAUUACUGGGCGUAAAGCGUGCGCCAGGCGGUUUUGUAAGUUUGUCGUGAAAUCCCCCGGGCUCAACCUGGGAAUGGCGAUGAAGACUGCAAGGCUAGAAUCUGGCAGAGGGGGGUAGAAUUCCACGUGUAGCAGUGAAAUGCGUAGAGAUGUGGAGGAACACCGAUGGCGAAGGCAGCCCCCUGGGUCAAGAUUGACGCUCAUGCA